GCAUCCUGCACUUUAUUUCUUCUUCCUUAUAAGUAACUUGUGCCAAUUCUGAGCAAUCAUAUUUUGUGAUUCAGGUGUUGCGGAUGCCAGUGGCUGCACUUCUUAUGGAUGAGGAAAAGAAGCAUUUUGUAGGUGCCAGAUUGGCAUCUGGUCAGGAUAUUUCUUGCAAACAGUUGAUAAUUGAUCCUUCAUACAAAAUUCCUACCUUGGAUGUUCCAUCUGAUGAUUCAAAUUCAAAUUUUCCAAGAAGUGUUGUGAGGGGAAUAUGCAUAUUUAGCAAGUCUGUGAAACAGGGUUCAUCAAAUGUUCUGGUUGUUUUCCCUCCAAAGUCGCUAGAAGAGAAGCAGGUUGCAGCUGUUCGGCUUCUUCAAUUGAGCAGCAAUCUCGCAGUAUGCCCUUCUGGAAUGUUUAUGGCAUAUCUGUCUACUCUCUGUACUGAUGCCUCCGCCGGAAAGCAGUGCAUCAGAAAAGCAAUAGAUGCUC